UACGAAGGGGGCGAGCGUUGUUCGGAUUUACUGGGCGUAAAGGGCGCGCAGGCGGCUCAUUUUGUCAGGCGUGAAAGCCCCGGGCUUAACCUGGGAACUGCGUUUGAUACGGAUGGGCUAGAGUUCGGGAGAGGAGCGUGGAAUUCCCAGUGUAGAGGUGAAAUUCGUAGAUAUUCGCAAGAACACCAGUGGCGAAGGCGACUCACUGGCCCGAUACUGACGCUGAGGCGCGAAAGCGUGGGGAGCAAACAGG
rnacentral:rRNA from 1 species